CACGUAGGCGGCUUGGUAAGUCAGAUGUGAAAGCCCGGGGCUUAACCCCGGAAGUGCAUUUGAUACUGUCAAGCUUGAGUAUGGGAGGGGAAGUGGAAUUCCUGGUGUAGAGGUGAAAUUCGUAGAUAUCAGGAGGAACACCGGUGGCGAAGGCGACUUCCUGGACCAAUACUGACGCUGAGGUGCGAAGGCGUGGGUAGCAAACA
rnacentral:rRNA from 1 species